UGAUGGAGCCCCAUAACCACUGGAAAAUGGUCGGAGUCGCCACCCAUCGUCCUAACCCUAGUCUUAGCUCCAUCGUACAUGUCCAUGAUUACUCUGAUGUAGGCUUCCGGCACGCUCUUCGCCUCCAAGCACCUCCCUUGGGACCUUGUCAUACGCCUUCUCCAAGUCGAUAAGCGCCAUGUGCAGGUCCUUCUUCUUAUCCCUGAACUGCUCCACCAGCCUCCUGACAAGGUGGAUAGCUUCUGUAGUGGAGCGACCUGGCAUGAA
rnacentral:lncRNA from 1 species